AUUGAACGCUGGCGGCAUGCCUUACACAUGCAAGUCGAACGGUAACGCGGGGCAACCUGGCGACGAGUGGCGAACGGGUGAGUAAUGCAUCGGAACGUGCCCAGUAGUGGGGGAUAGCCCGGCGAAAGCCGGAUUAAUACCGCAUACGACCUACGGGUGAAAGCGGGGGACCGUAAGGCCUCGCGCUGUUGGAGCGGCCGAUGUCAGAUUAGGUAGUUGGUGGGGUAAAGGCCUACCAAGCCUUCGAUCUGUAGCUGGUCUGAGAGGACGACCAGCCACACUGGGACUGAGACACGGCCCAGACUCCUACGGGAGGCAGCAGUGGGGAAUUUUGGACAAUGGGCGCAAGCCUGAUCCAGCCAUGCCGCGUGCGGGAAGAAGGCCUCGGUUGUAACG
rnacentral:rRNA from 1 species